rnacentral:rRNA from 1 species
GACGAACGCUGGCGGCGUGCUUAACACAUGCAAGUCGAACGCUGGAGCCCUUUCGGGGGUGGAUGAGUGGCGAACGGGUGAGUAACACGUGGGUAAUCUGCCCUGUACUUCGGGAUAAGCCUUGGAAACGGGGUCUAAUACCGGAUAGGACCUGUCCUCGCAUGGGGGUGGGUGGAAAGUUCCGGCGGUAUGGGAUGAGCCCGCGGCCUAUCAGCUUGUUGGUGGGGUAGUGGCCUACCAAGGCGACGACGGGUAGCCGGCCUGAGAGGGUGACCGGUCACACUGGGACUGAGACACGGCCCAGACUCCUACGGGAGGCAGCAGUGGGGAAUCUUGCGCAAUGGGCGAAAGCCUGACGCAGCAACGCCGCGUGGGGGAUGACGGCCUUCGGGUUGUAAACCUCUUUCGACAUCGACGAAGGGGCCCUGUUGUGGGGUUUUGACGGUAGGUGUAGAAGAAGCACCGGCUGACUACGUGCCAGCCGCCGCCGUAA